UUAACACAGAUUUUCCCCACUCACCACUCCAAUCGCUAAAGGUUGCUGUCGGUAAGCUAUUGCUAGGAAUUCUCAGGAACUUGGUCGAAAACUACAUCAAGCUCUCACUACUAUCUUCUUCAGAUAGUCACCCUCAAAAAGCUCUGUAACCCUCACUUUUUGAAACCUAUCCAAGAGAAGGUAGUUUGAUGGGUUUGGAUCCAAAUUCUCAGUAUCUCUCUUGUUCUUCAAAUGAUAUGGAUGGUGGAUCUAUUUAGCAAUCAAAAGUAGAGAGUCUCUAUCUUCAAGGACUUCAUUUAGUCAAACACGCAGAAGUUCCUGCUAGUUCUUGCAAAUGGAAACAUAAAUGAUGUCUCUAUACCAUCAUAAUUAGAAGAUAAAGUGUAUACGGAGAAUUUAGAAACUGAAACAAGGAAUGGAAAGCCAUCACCUACAGUUGUGCAUGAGGUAAAUGUUGGUUGAUUUGAAAAAUAACCAAAACCUUUGUUCC